rnacentral:rRNA from 1 species
GACGAACGCUGGCGGCGUCCUUAACACAUGCAAGUCGAACGGAAAGGCCCUGCUUUUGUGGGGUGCUCGAGUGGCAAACGGGUUAGUAACACGUAAGUAACCUGCCCUUAACUUUGGGAUAACUUCAGAAAACUGGGGCUAAUACCGGAUAGGAGCUCCUGCUCCAUGGUGGGGGUUGGAAAGUUUCGGCGGUUGGGGUUGGACUCGCGGCUUAUCAGCUUGUUGGUGGGGUAGUGGCUUACCAAGGCUUUGACGGGUAGCCGGCCUGAGAGGGUGACCGGCCACAUUGGGACUGAGAUACGGCCCAGACUCCUACGGGAGGCAGCAGUGGGGAAUAUUGCGCAAUGGGCGGAAGCCUGAUGCAGCAACGCCGCGUGCGGGAUGACGGCCUUCGGGUUGUAAACCGCUUUCGCCUGUGACGAAGCGUGAGUGACGGUAAUGGGUAAAGAAGCACCGGCUAACUACGUG